GAUGAACGCUGGCGGCGUGCCUAAUACAUGCAAGUCGAGCGAACAGACGAGGAGCUUGCUCCUCUGACGUUAGCGGCGGACGGGUGAGUAACACGUGGAUAACCUACCUAUAAGACUGGGAUAACUUCGGGAAACCGGAGCUAAUACCGGAUAAUAUAUUGAACCGCAUGGUUCAAUAGUGAAAGACGGUUUUGCUGUCACUUAUAGAUGGAUCCGCGCCGCAUUAGCUAGUUGGUAAGGUAACGGCUUACCAAGGCAACGAUGCGUAGCCGACCUGAGAGGGUGAUCGGCCACACUGGAACUGAGACACGGUCCAGACUCCUACGGGAGGCAGCAGUAGGGAAUCUUCCGCAAGGGGCGAAAGCUUGACGGAGCAACGCCGCGUGAGUGAUGAAGGUCUUCGGAUCGUAAAACUCUGUUAUUAGGGAAGAACAAAUGUGUAAGUAACUAUGCACGUCUUGACGGUACCUAAGCAGAAAGCCACGGCUAACUACGG
rnacentral:rRNA from 1 species